GUCGACCGUACCACGUUGAAACACCAGUUCCCGUGUGAUCAGCGAAGUUAAGAAACGUCGAGCCUGGUCAGUGCCUACAUGGGUAACCGCUUGGGAAUACCAGGUGCU